UGCAAGAGUUCUUCUGCUGGGGAAACCGCCACAAGCAAAAAUCAGACAGGUCGACGUCUUGGUCCAGCUCCAGGCAGAUGGCUCCGCCGUUCGCCUUAUCGUUAGUCCAGCCGAUCCCGGUUGCCUUCACCUGCUGGCUACCAAACUUGUUCCAGUUCGGCACGACAUACUUCGCGGAGGUGUCGCCCGCAGCGUAGAGAGCAAUGGACUUGAUGCUGCUGCGGUAAAUGGUGUCGUCGGCCCAGAUGAUGACCUUAUCGAGCAGAUUGCUUUUACCGCAGGUGCUCUGUAAAGGGGGGAUAUGAGAGGGAUGGGAUUGGAUAGCAAGAAAACCGUAAUGGAGUGCUACUGGAGGAAGAUGUGGCCGCUGUGCCGCAUGCACCAUUUAGACAUCUGUACGUAAAGGCGUAAUCGAUGUAUCCGUCAAUGUGGCACUACUAUUGUGCUCGUGUCGCAGUCAGUAGAUGGCCACAUACAUACAUACAUACAUCAACCAGGACAUGCACAUGCUAUCAUGCGGUGUACGGCGGCGCCAGCGAGCGCUGCGACCCACAUUUGGCUCAAUGGGCUUCACGAGGGUGAUGUUGAAGCAGUACAACUUCGUGUUCUUGCGGCCCGUGAAUGGACCGCUCAUAGUCGGCAAGGCGGCGAAGGGGGUGAUGUUCCUCGUCAUGUUGCAGCUGCGGAGGAAGGAGAGGGAGCGAGGGAAAGGGAUAGGUGGCGAGAGCAGGGUGGUACAGCUGGAAGGAUAAUCAUGUGAGGGCACAAUGCUGCUAAAAUCCAAUUCAAACCGUUAUUUCAUAAAGACGUAGCUGCCGACACGUACAUGCAGGCGUGCAUGCAUCCGCGUCGUCAUGCAUGCAGUCCCACAUUUCCUCAGACAACAGACAUGUUUACUCCCCUCCGCCACACAGUGCUUGACCCCCUCCAGUAGGUUUGCUCGACUCACUUGCAGGUCACAUUCUGAUCAGACCCUUGGCACGGCAGUACAUCUGACGCAUUGAAACAACGGAAUGAGACGUUGCCAUUCUUCCAGUCGCCAUCCCCUCCGACCGCAAUUGUAAGGUUGAACUUGGAGCGACUUGCCGCACACGUGGAGGUGAGAGCGUAAUUCAACCAGCGACCGGCAUUUUCACCAACCACGGGAUGCAGCUUUGUAGCGUUAGCAUACAAGUCCAAGUUUAAGCAAACCUUGAUAAAGUCUGAUGUGCAAGUGAUCUGUGGAACUACUGGGGGCCGCAAGAUGUAGGAUGCGCUUGAAUUGAGGAGGUCGGACUGUAUCUGUUCGGCCAAACGAUCGCAGGUGCCGUUGGGGAAGGUAGCGUUCGAUUCGCGGAACCCAAAGGUCAGGUAGACACAGACCUUCUCCUCCGUGCAAUANNNNNNNNNNNNNNNNNNNNNNNNNNNNNNNNNNNNNNNNNNNNNNNNNNGGUGGUGGGGGAGGGGGAGGCGGGGGAGGUGGGGGAGAUGGGGGAGGUGGUGGGGGAGGGGGAGGCGGGGGUGGCGGUGCAGAUGGGGGAUGAAGGGGAGGGUCGGAGCAGCAGGUACGGUCGUUGGCAUUGUCGGAGCCGGCGAAUAGCGCAACCAUGCACUCCUGGGAGUUUGUAUUUCUGUAAUUGCCGUUGUUAAUCUUUCUGAAGCUGGUGGUCUUAGGGUCUGCACAGAGCGACCGCAAAGUGGUGCAGUUGCCCUUGCCCCCAUUCAAUAUAGUAAGGCAAAUCCUGGCGCCAUUGCUGUUGGUACCCAGGUGUCGCGCGGUCAGAUCGUUCAGUUUCAAUAUCACAGUCCCCGGUGAGGCAUAACGUGGAACUUCUAAGAAGCUAUAUGUGAAGAUGCCAUUUACGGAAGCCUUGAUGACGACAUCCCUUUGGCAUCCUUUCUUCAGAAGCAUCUGCGGGUUCGUCGGGGGGACGCUGUUAACGAUAAAUGUUCUAUGUCAUGAAGACAACCAGGCAAGGUAAAUCUGCUCGAAUGGAGUGACACACAGUUGCGCGCCCUCGUGACUGAGUAAAGCUUUAACGUUCGACAACCGUAACGGGAAGGCUGCUAGAUUUUGAGCACGCCCGUAGUGCUAGUUAUGCUACAUCAACACAUGUUCAAUGAUAAGAUUAUACUCACGUCCAUCUUGUAGAUUGGUGCAUUCUUGCACAUGAAGUCGGCAUUGAGUGGAUUCACUUCCAGCGUGAAGCAGAAGGUGCGAUUUCCAAGUCCGGAAAAAUCAGGCUUUAGACGGUAUAUAGACUCCAAAGCGACGCAUUUUGCGCAGUAAGGAAAUGCCUGGUAUCUCGUCGGCGGGGGCGACAGCGGACUACUCAGCGCGUGCGACGCCCUGCAGAUUGGAAAAUAAGCGCAAGGUAGCAAGAAAUUCAGCAAGGCAUCAAUCAUUUAUAAAUAGAGUGAUGAAUAACGCAAAAUGAGGGGAGCCGCAGCGAUCAACGACACGGGGUGAUACUGGCGCCCGUGCCCGCCAAAGCGACGUAAGCCAAACGGAUUGCAGCAUGGCUAUUAAAGCUACGACUCCUCAUGUAUCAGAAGGUAGGUAAACGUUUAAGAAUAAGCCUUUGAGCCCUACAUGCUUGUACAUCGAAGCCUGCAGCUGGCCCUAGCAAGGUAAGCAACGACACUUACGAGAAUACGGCGACUACGCAAAGAGCAGCCAACAGUAUAUUCUUCAUUGGUGUUCGCAUGUCGGCUCUCAAUGUGCCCAAUUGGUAUGCUGAAUUGAUCUGGGUAACCGCGUAUUUAUAGUAAGCUUAACUCCAGUAUACUUCAACGUACAGUACAGCAAUGAAGCUGGUCGAAAUCGGUCUCGUGCAGCCCAAUGUUUGUAACGAUCGUUACUCUACACCACGGGCUGUAACGUAUUAUGUCGACUGCCAAUGUUUGAUACUUGCCACCUGUUGCCACGGGCAACGAGCUAGAUGCAGCUACAACCCUUCAAGCGGGAAUCACGUUUGACGAUGGACAAUUAACGAUUUCUCAUUGUCGUCACUUAGGUCUCAUAUCGAAACGGAUGAAUGGUCUCGUCAGCCUUUUUACGCUCGCGACCCCCCGUGCAUUAGCACUCUCAAUAUCGAUUCCGUUGUUUCCUUACCUGUACAUGCUUUGGAAUAUAUAUCAUAAUAUCGAAGUAAAGUUAUUGGCCGGCACCCUGUCCACGACCUCUGCCAGCGCAAAAGGGCCCCACGCCUGGCAGCCAUACAACAGAAUUGCUUGGACUUGGGUUGCAAAGCACCGCAUUCGCACGUCGGGGGCAAACAGCUUCAUUUUGUCCAGCUUUGCGCUGAAGGAAAACAUAGCGGACCGACCUGUAUCACAUAACUGCUGACGGCACGCACUAAAAGGCCGUUCUGGCCCGUAUACCAAGCCCCCAGAUAGCGAGCGCUAUCUUUGGCAGGUACUACCUGGCCUGAUAGCCGUAACUGUUGACAUCUCUCGCUAAGUUCCGACUGCUGGGUGCCAUUACAUGCAAAGUAAGUCCACAAGAUGUAGCAACCCAGACAUUCGCUCUAGUGACGUCGCUAGCAGACUAACAUCGUCUGCAUACAACAGUAUGGAGACGCGCUUGCUGUCCACAAGGGGUGUGUCAUGCUUACGUACUCCAGCUUCUACAAGGUCAUGAGCAUCAAUCGGAUCAGCUAGUGCCUCAAUGAAGAGUCCGUAGACAAAGGACACCCUUGCUUCACGCCUUCAAACUCUCCCCCCACUUUUUCAUUUACCUUACAUCACCAUAUGUGUGUGUGUAUGUUACAUGGUUGGGGGCGCGUGACCCCAUACCUGUAAAACUACCCAUACGAGCCGAAGGCCCAAGGGCAAUACUACAACGCUUAAAAGCCAAGGAGAAAAGGAAACACCGCACAUCAGCCCAGGCUAGCGUCCAAAGGGGGUAACUGAGUUUCGUUGAGCCCACAUACGUUCCAACAUCCUCACCAGACGUACUGGUUCCCAUUUCAUGGUCUCCAACAUCACCAUAUGACGGACACUAUCAAGUGCGAACCUAACGUCUGGUGGAGAUGCUGGAAUGUGUGUGACUCCACCGCGAUUCUAUCAUUUGCUUUGUCUGAAGUGCGAGGUAGGAUGGUGCUUUGAGGCGAUCUGGCAGGCUUUGAGCCCGCGGCUCGGUUUGGGCGGUUCACAGGCACGGGCUACACGCCCCCACGACUAUGUAACACACACAACACACAUACAGAUAGCUAUUAUAACCCCUUUCCGGCAGCGGGCAUAUGAUACACCAUCCUUCACUACAUAUUCCACCCUGUGCUUUGACUUGCUUGCUCAAUAAGCACACUGAGGUCUCCUCAGCGUGCAGUGCGCGAAUUGUCAUGACUGCCAUUACAAAAUUGAACCUGAAUAUUGAGAUGGCUGACACAUUUAAAGAUUGCUGGGCGCAAAGACGUGAAGUAGCUAUGGAAAGCAUUUGCCCGUUCGAAGCGGCAGGAAGCUACCGACCUGAACAUGCUUUUAGGACUUUCAAUCUGUGCACACGAACACACAAGUUACAAUCUGCGUUGUAGUGCUGGUAAGGUGAUAAUUAACGCAUCUUCCGAACAAUUCAUCAUCCGUUAUAAAAUCGGUCACCAAGCCUCGCUCUAUGUGUCGCAAAGCCGGGAUCCGCCAUGUAAACAAAACCUCUUUAAAUUAACUCCAAGCCCCAAUACGGCCAAUAACUUUACUUCGAUAUUAUGAUAUAUAUUCCAAAGCAUGUACAGGUAAGGAAACAACGGAAUCGAUAUUGAGAGUGCUAAUGCACGGGGGGUCGCGAGCGUAAAAAGGCUGACGAGACCAUUCAUCCGUUUCGAUAUGAGACCUAAGUGACGACAAUGAGAAAUCGUUAAUUGUCCAUCGUCAAACGUGAUUCCCGCUUGAAGGGUUGUAGCUGCAUCUAGCUCGUUGCCCGUGGCAACAGGUGGCAAGUAUCAAACAUUGGCAGUCGACAUAAUACGUUACAGCCCGUGGUGUAGAGUAAUGAUCGUUACAAACAUUGGGCUGCACGAGACCGAUUUCGACCAGCUUCAUUGCUGUACUGUACGUUGAAGUAUACUGGAGUUAAGCUUACUAUAAAUACGCGGUUACCCAGAUCAAUUCAGCAUACCAAUUGGGCACAUUGAGAGCCGACAUGCGAACACCAAUGAAGAAUAUACUGUUGGCUGCUCUUUGCGUAGUCGCCGUAUUCUCGUAAGUGUCGUUGCUUACCUUGCUAGGGCCAGCUGCAGGCUUCGAUGUACAAGCAUGUAGGGCUCAAAGGCUUAUUCUUAAACGUUUACCUACCUUCUGAUACAUGAGGAGUCGUAGCUUUAAUAGCCAUGCUGCAAUCCGUUUGGCUUACGUCGCUUUGGCGGGCACGGGCGCCAGUAUCACCCCGUGUCGUUGAUCGCUGCGGCUCCCCUCAUUUUGCGUUAUUCAUCACUCUAUUUAUAAAUGAUUGAUGCCUUGCUGAAUUUCUUGCUACCUUGCGCUUAUUUUCCAAUCUGCAGGGCGUCGCACGCGCUGAGUAGUCCGCUGUCGCCCCCGCCGACGAGAUACCAGGCAUUUCCUUACUGCGCAAAAUGCGUCGCUUUGGAGUCUAUAUACCGUCUAAAGCCUGAUUUUUCCGGACUUGGAAAUCGCACCUUCUGCUUCACGCUGGAAGUGAAUCCACUCAAUGCCGACUUCAUGUGCAAGAAUGCACCAAUCUACAAGAUGGACGUGAGUAUAAUCUUAUCAUUGAACAUGUGUUGAUGUAGCAUAACUAGCACUACGGGCGUGCUCAAAAUCUAGCAGCCUUCCCGUUACGGUUGUCGAACGUUAAAGCUUUACUCAGUCACGAGGGCGCGCAACUGUGUGUCACUCCAUUCGAGCAGAUUUACCUUGCCUGGUUGUCUUCAUGACAUAGAACAUUUAUCGUUAACAGCGUCCCCCCGACGAACCCGCAGAUGCUUCUGAAGAAAGGAUGCCAAAGGGAUGUCGUCAUCAAGGCUUCCGUAAAUGGCAUCUUCACAUAUAGCUUCUUAGAAGUUCCACGUUAUGCCUCACCGGGGACUGUGAUAUUGAAACUGAACGAUCUGACCGCGCGACACCUGGGUACCAACAGCAAUGGCGCCAGGAUUUGCCUUACUAUAUUGAAUGGGGGCAAGGGCAACUGCACCACUUUGCGGUCGCUCUGUGCAGACCCUAAGACCACCAGCUUCAGAAAGAUUAACAACGGCAAUUACAGAAAUACAAACUCCCAGGAGUGCAUGGUUGCGCUAUUCGCCGGCUCCGACAAUGCCAACGACCGUACCUGCUGCUCCGACCCUCCCCUUCAUCCCCCAUCUGCACCGCCACCCCCGCCUCCCCCUCCCCCACCACCUCCCCCANNNNNNNNNNNNNNNNNNNNNNNNNNNNNNNNNNNNNNNNNNNNNNNNNNGCAGCAUUUAUAGGAUGUAUCGAAAAGGGAAACCCUGCAUCAAGCAAGAUGGGCAUGGGCAUGGAAGACACAAAAUUAGGUAGAAAGACAGGACGCUCGGCCAGAGGCACCUCUAAGCAGUAAAAAAGCUAAGCUAGUGCAAGGCUAGGGUGCCAUUGGAGAGCUCUUCAACCAUGUGCAAGGAAGCCCGCGUAAAUAGUCUAGCUAGGUGCAUGCAUGCAUUUCUGCAGCCGGGAUGGCGACUGAGUGCCGCCUAGUUCGCGCACACUCACAUCCCGCCAUGCAUGCACACGGCAUGACAUGCGUGUGUGUUUUACAUGGUUGGGGGUGCGUGACCCGAUACCUGUAAAACUACCCAUACGAGCCGAAGGCCCAAGGAUGCGCCUAAAAGCCACGGAGAACAGGAAACACCGCACAUCAGCCUAGACCAGCGUCCAGUGAGUUUCGGUGAGCCCACAUACGUUCCAACAUCCUCGCCAGACGUACUGGUUCCCAUUUCAUGGCUUCCAACACGGCAUGACAAGCAUGCAGGCAGCCCCCAAACAAAUCCCCAGGCCCUUACAUGCAAGAGUUCUUCUGCUGGGGAAACCGCCACAAGCAAAAAUCAGACAGGUCGACGUCUUGGUCCAGCUCCAGGCAGAUGGCUCCGCCGUUCGCCUUAUCCUUAGUCCAGCCGAUCCCGGUUGCCUUCACCUGCUGGCUACCAAACUUGUUCCAGUUCGGCACGACAUACUUCGCGGAGGUGUCGCCCGCAGCGUAGAGAGCAAUGGACUUGAUGCUGCUGCGGUAAAUGGUGUCGUCGGCCCAGAUGAUGACCUUAUCGAGCAGAUUGCUUUUACCGCAGGUGCU
rnacentral:lncRNA from 1 species